rnacentral:rRNA from 1 species
GACGAACGCUGGCGGCGUGCUUAACACAUGCAAGUCGAACGGAAAGGCCCUGCUUUCGUGGGGUGCUCGAGUGGCGAACGGGUGAGUAACACGUGAGUAACCUGCCCUUUACUUUGGGAUAACUUCAGGAAACUUGGGCUAAUAGCGGAUAGGAGCUCCUGCUGCAUGGUGGGGGUUGGAUAGUUUCGGCGGUUGGGGAUGGACUCGCGGCUUAUCAGCCUGUUGGUGGGGUAGUGGAUUACCAAGGCUCUGACGGGUAGCCGGCCUGAGAGGGUGACCUGCCACACUGGCACUGAGAUAAGGCCCAGCCGCCGUCGGGAGGAAGGAGUGGGGAAUAGUGCACUAUGGGAGGGACGCUGAGGCAGGAACGCCGCGCGUGGGAUGACGGCCUUCGGGUUGUAAACCGCUUUCGCCUGGGACGAAGCGUGAGUGACGGUAAUGGGUAAAGAAGCACCGGCUAACUACGUG